rnacentral:rRNA from 1 species
GGGACACGUGGUAUCCUGUCUGAAUAUGGGGGGACCAUCCUCCAAGGCUAAAUACUCCUGACUGACCGAUAGUGAACCAGUACCGUGAGGGAAAGGCGAAAAGAACCCCGGCGAGGGGAGUGAAAAAGAACCUGAAACCGUGUACGUACAAGCAGUGGGAGCACAGGUUUACCUGUGUGACUGCGUACCUUUUGUAUAAUGGGUCAGCGACUUAUAUUCUGUAGCAAGGUUAACCGUAUAGGGGAGCCGGAGGGAAACCGAGUCUUAAUUGGGCGUUAAGUUGCAGGGUAUAGACCCGAAACCCGGUGAUCUAGCCAUGGGCAGGUUGAAGGUUGGGUAACACUAACUGGAGGACCGAACCGACUAAUGUUGAAAAAUUAGCGGAUGACCUGUGGCUGGGGGUGAAAGGCCAAUCAAACCGGGAGAUAGCUGGUUCUCCCCGAAAGCUAUUUAGGUAGCGCCUCGUGAACUCAUCUCCGGGGGUAGAGCACUGUUUCGGCUAGGGGGCCAUCCCGGCUUACCAACCCGAUGCAAACUGCGAAUACCGGAGAAUGUUAUCACGGGAGACACACGGCGGGUGCUAACGUCCGUCGUGAAGAGGGAAACAACCCAGACCGCCAGCUAAGGUCCCAAAGUCAUGGUUAAGUGGGAAACGAUGUGGGAAGGCCCAGACAGCCAGGAUGUUGGCUUAGAAGCAGCCAUCAUUUAAAGAAAGCGUAAUAGCUCACUGGUCGAGUCGGCCUGCGCGGAAGAUGUAACGGGGCUAAACCAU